GGAAUUAUUGGGCGUAAAGGGUACGUAGGCGGUCUAAUAAGUCAGAUGUGAAAACCUCGGGCUCAACCUGAGGCCUGCGUCUGAUACUGUUAGGCUAGAGUUAUGGAGAGGAAGGCGGAAUUCCUGGUGUAGGGGUGAAAUCUAUAGAUAUCAGGGAGAACAUCGGUAGCGAAGGCUGCCUUCUGGACAUAAACUGACGCUGAUGUACGAAAGUUAGGGUAGCAAACAGGAUUAGAGACCCUGGUAGUCCUAACUGUAAACGUUGUAUACUAGGUGGUGGCAUUUUGAUCGUGUCACUGCCGUAGCUAACGCAUUAAGUAUACCGCCUGGGGAGUAUGCCGGCAACGGUGAAACUCAAAGGAAUUGACGGGGGCCCGCACAAGCAGUGGAGCAUGUUGUUUAAUUCGAUGAUACGCGAGGAACCUUACCAGGUCUUGACAUAUACCUGAAUGUUGUAGAAAUACAUCAGCCUUCGGGCAGGUAUACAGGUGCUGCAUGGUUGUCGUCAGCUCGUGCCGUGAGGUGUUGGGUUAAGUCCCGCAACGAGCGCAACCCUUAUUCUUUGUUGCUAACAGUUCGGCUGAGCACUCUAAGGAGACUGCCGGUGACAAACCGGAGGAAGGUGGGGAUGACGUCAAAUCAUCACGGCC
rnacentral:rRNA from 1 species